rnacentral:rRNA from 1 species
GGUUUCUUGUUGAUAUAAGAAAUUUGACCUGCCCACUGAAAGGGAAUUAAAGGGCCGCAGUAUUUUGACUGUGCAAAGGUAGCAUAAUAAUUAGUCUUUUAAUUGAAGGCUUGUAUGAAUGGUUGGAUGAGGUGAAAACUGUUUUAUACUAAAGUUGUAUUGAAUUUAGAUUUUAAGUAAAAAGACUUAAAUGAUAUUAAGGGACGAGAAGACCCUAUAGAGUUUAAUAAGUGUAUUUUUAAUUAAGUUAAAGAUGAAUUUUUAAUUAUUGUAAAAAUUUAUUUAAUUGGGGUGAUUGAAAGAUAGAUAAAACUCUUUUUUAAAAUAAAUAUUGUAGAUAAAUAGAAGAUCCAUAAAUAGUGAUUAAAAGAUUAAAUUACCUUAGGGAUAACAGCAUAAUACUUUUUAAGAGUUCAAAUCGAAAAAAGUGAUUGUGACCUCGAUGUUGGAUUAAGAUGAAUAUUGGGUGUAGAUGUUCAAUAAUUGGGUCUGUUCGACCUAUAAAAUCUUACA